ensembl:miRNA MIR196B microRNA 196d
AGCUGUUGUGUGGUUUAGGUAGUCUCAUGUUGUUGGGUUCUAAUAUUUCUCCCACAACAGGAAACUGCCUUGAUUACCUCAGUAAAAAUCAUC